rnacentral:rRNA from 1 species
AAGCGGAGGAAAAGAAACCANCAGGGAUUACCUCAGUAACGGCGAGUGAAGCGGUAACAGCUCAAAUUUGAAAGCUGGCUCUUUUAGGGUCCGCGUUGUAAUUUGUAGAAGAUGCUUCGGGUGUAGCUCCGGUCUAAGUUCCUUGGAACAGGACGUCAUAGAGGGUGAGAAUCCCGUAUGUGACUGGGUGCUUUCGCUCAUGUGAAGCUCUUUCGACGAGUCGAGUUGUUUGGGAAUGCAGCUCAAAAUGGGUGGUAAAUUUCAUCUAAAGCUAAAUAUUGGCCAGAGACCGAUAGCGCACAAGUAGAGUGAUCGAAAGAUGAAAAGCACUUUGGAAAGAGAGUUAAACAGUACGUGAAAUUGUUGAAAGGGAAGCGCUUGCAACCAGACUUGCGCGCUGAUGAUCAUCCGGGCUUCUGUCCGGUGCACUCGUCUGCGCUCAGGCCAGCAUCGGUUUCGGUGGUGGGAUAAAGGCCUUGGGAAUGUAGCUCCUCUCGGGGAGUGUUAUAGCCCUCGGUGCAAUGCCGCCUACCGGGACCGAGGACCGCGCUUCGGCUAGGAUGCUGGCGUAAUGGUUGUAAGCGACCCGUCUUGAAACACGGACCAAGGAGUCUAACAUCUAUGCGAGUGUUUGGGUGUUAAACCCAUACGCGUAAUGAAAGUGAACGGAGGUGAGAACCCUUAAGGGUGCAUCAUCGACCGAUCCUGAUGUCUUCGGAUGGAUUUGAGUAAGAGCAUAGCUGUUGGGACCCGAAAGAUGGUGAACUAUGCGUGAAUAGGGUGAAGCCAGAGGAAACUCUGGUGGAGGCUCGCAGCGGUUCUGACGUGCAAAUCGAUCGUCAAAUUUGCGUAUAGGGGCGAAAGACUAAUCGAACCA